GCUCAAUGAGUAUAAAUAGCCGCAAAUUUAUUUGUGCUAAGGUAGCAUAAUCACUCGUCUUCUAAUUAAAGACUAGAAUGAAAGAUUCAACAUUUCAAUAAUCUUUUUAUAUUUCACCUACAAAACUAUUUUAAAUGUAAAAAAACAUUUAUUAUUAAGAAAGACGACAAGACCCUGUCGAACUUUAACUAAAGUUAAGCUGGGGCAGCUAAUUAAUUAAAAUUUUAAUUAAUUCCUUAAAAAUAAAUUAGAUCCAGUUGAACUGACCAUUUGAUCAAGUUACCGCAGGGAUAACAGCGUUAUCAUUCUAAAAAGCUCUUAUUAAAAGAAUACGAUUGCGACCUCGAUGUUGAAUUAAUUUAAUUCCAUUACGCAGCAGUAAUGAAAAUUAGUCUGUUCGACUAUUAAAAAAUUACAUGAUUUGAGUUCAAACCGGCGNAAGCCAGGGUUGGUUUCUAUCUUCUAUAUUAAUUAUUCAUAGUACGAAAGGACCAGAAUAAUUAUAUUCUAUAACUUUAUUGGCAGAUCAAUGCAUUAGAAUUAGAAUCUAAUAACCCUUAUAAUUUCACCNUCAAUUAUCAACAUCAUU
rnacentral:misc_RNA from 1 species